UUGAUCGAAAGUAAUCACAAAAGAAUUGACAUAAAAUUUUAUUGUGCAUUAUGGUUAUUAAUUUGAUCAUUGGUUAUUCAAGUGAAUCGUAAGUUCAAAUUCGAUGUGAGAAUAAUACUAUGAUAUUACUUUUAGUUGAGAAGUUGACUAUUAUUGGUAAGAUAAAGAUUUGAUGAUAAAAUAUUAUUCCAGGAUGGACUAAGAAAAAUCUUUUAUGAUGCUUGAUUGGAAUAUUUAUCGAAAUUAAACUUGGUAUAUGGAUCAUAUAUAAAGUGACAUAUUAGGAUGAAUGCAUAUUUGAGGAUAUUACAAAGAAACCUAUUUCUUAUUGAUGAAAUUGAUUAUGAGGUUGUAGAAUAUU
rnacentral:lncRNA from 1 species